UACGGGGGGGGCAAGCGUUGUUCGGAAUUACUGGGCGUAAAGGGCUCGUAGGCGGCCAACUAAGUCAGACGUGAAAUCCCUCGGCUUAACCGGGGAACUGCGUCUGAUACUGGAUGGCUAGAGUCCGGUAGGGGACCGACGGAAUACCUGGUGUAGCGGUGAAAUGCGCAGAUAUCAGGUGGAACACCGGUGGCGAAGGCGGUGGUCUGGGCCGGAACUGACGCUGAGGAGCGAAAGCGUGGGGAGCGAACAGG
rnacentral:rRNA from 1 species